rnacentral:rRNA from 1 species
AUGCCAGCGCUUACUGGUCAGGUGAAGUGGUUCAACGAGAGCAAGGGGUUCGGCUUUAUCACCCCCGACGACGGCAGCAAGGACGUCUUCGUGCACUUCUCGGCAAUCGUUGACGCCGGCUUCAAGACCCUCGCCGAGGGCCAGCGUGUCGAAUUCAGAAUCGAAAGCGGCGCAAAAGGCCCGUCCGCCGCCAAUGUCAAGGCCAUAUAG